AUAUAGUUGCUAAACUAUCAAACACCUUUGAAACAGAUGAAGCAUUAACUAUAAGAUACAACAUCCAUCAUUACUUGUCUUCUUGUUUUUCUUCAUAUAUGAGUUUGUUGCUGAUUCUAGAGGACAAAAUUUAAUUAUGUAAAUUUAAUUCAGUGUUAGCAUUUCUCUUCAGCCUUAUGCUCAUUCUAGCAAGUAGGUUGACAAAUGUGUGUUUCAUCUGCCAGUCUGUUUCUGGUCAAGAAAAACCAUUUCAAAUGUUGCAUGGUUACAUGUCAGAAAAUAUGGAUUCAAAUGGCACCACCUGUGUCUUCUCUACCAUAUUUGUUUGCUACCGUAAUUUUGAUUUCUUUGUAAAAACCUUCCAUCGUGGCACUAAAUCUAUGAUUAUUUUGUUUGGUUGAAAUAUCUCUGAAGAUUGCAAAAGUUGAAGAAGAUUUCCCUGCUCACCACCUUAGCUUGAUUGGACCUUUCCAUAUGAAAUUCCCGUCCUUGAAUUUUUCUUAUUUCACUAGAUAAAAUUCUUGUGGAUGCAAUAGCCAUCAAAUG
rnacentral:lncRNA from 1 species